GACGUAGGGCGCGAGCGUUGUCCGGAUUUAUUGGGCGUAAAGAGCUCGUAGGCGGCUUGUCGCGUCGUCCGUGAAAACCCAUGGCUCAACUGUGGGCUUGCGGUCGAUACGGGCAGGCUAGAGUUCGGUAGGGGAGACUGGAAUUCCUGGUGUAGCGGUGAAAUGCGCAGAUAUCAGGAGGAACACCGGUGGCGAAGGCGGGUCUCUGGGCCGAUACUGACGCUGAGGAGCGAAAGCGUGGGGAGCGAACAGG
rnacentral:rRNA from 1 species